UACAGAGGUCCCGAGCGUUGUUCGGAUUCACUGGGCGUAAAGGGUGCGUAGGCGGGUUUUUAAGUCAGGGGUGAAAUCCUGGAGCUCAACUCCAGAACUGCCUUUGAUACUGAAGAUCUUGAGUUCGGGAGAGGUGAGUGGAACUGCGAGUGUAGAGGUGAAAUUCGUAGAUAUUCGCAAGAACACCAGUGGCGAAGGCGGCUCACUGGCCCGAUACUGACGCUGAGGCACGAAAGCGUGGGGAGCAAACAGG
rnacentral:rRNA from 1 species